GCUGGGUGUGGUGGCGCGUGCCUGUAGUCCCAGUUACUUGGGAAGCUGAGGCGGGAGAAUCACUUGAGCCCAGGAGGUCGGGGCUGCAGUGAACUGUGAUCAUGCCACUGCACUCCAGCCUGGACAACUGAGAGAGAGCCUGUCUAAA
rnacentral:SRP_RNA from 1 species